rnacentral:rRNA from 1 species
GAGACCCACGCCAACAGUUGCCAGCAUGUCCUCCGGGAUGGUGGGGACACUGUUGGGACCGCCUCUGCUAAAGAGGAGGAAGGAAUGGGCAACGGUAGGUCAGCAUGCCCCGAAUUAUCCGGGCUACACGCGGGCUACAAUGGUCAGGACAAUGGGUAUCGACACCGAGAGGUGAAGGCAACCUCUUAAACCUGUCCUUAGUUCGGAUUGUGGGCUGCAACUCGCCCACAUGAAGCUGGAAUCCGUAGUAAUCGCGUCUCAAAAUGGCGCGGUGAAUAU